GUAGGGAAUAUUGGGCAAUGGUCGGAAGACUGACCCAGCCAUGCCGAGUGCAGGAAGACGGCCCUCUGGGUUGUAAACUGCUUUUAUCUGGGAAGAAAAAGGCCAUGCGUGGCAAAUUGCCGGUACCAGAUGAAUAAGCACCGGCUAACUCCGUGCCAGCAGCCGCGGUAAUACGGAGGGUGCGAGCGUUGUCCGGAUUUAUUGGGUUUAAAGGGUGCGUAGGCGGCUGAUUAAGUCAGCGGUGAAAGACUUCGGCUUAACCGGAGCAGUGCCGUUGAUACUGGUUGGCUUGAGUGUCGGAGGGGUACAUGGAAUUGAUGGUGUAGCGGUGAAAUGCAUAGAUACCAUCAGGAACACCGAUAGCGAAGGCAUUGUACUGGCCGACAACUGACGCUGAUGCACGAAAGUGUGGGGAUCGAACAGGAUUAGAAACCCCAGUAGUCC
rnacentral:rRNA from 1 species